GGCGGCCGGCCAAUGGACGGAUCUCUCGCUAACCCGGUCAGGUCCGGAAGGAAGCAGCCGUAACGAGUUCGAGCCGGGUCACUGGUUCGGUCACCCAC
rnacentral:SRP_RNA from 1 species